AGCGUGCGGUGCGGGGAGCAUGAGAACUCCCGCAAGGCACCCGGCUUUAUUCCCCAGGGAAGAAAGAGGGAAGGAUGCGGAGAGACGGGGCGUGGGAAGAGAGGAGCAUCCAGAGACGGAGACAGGCUAAGGGUGAAGCACCCCAACCACCAGCAUUCAGCAAGGAUCUUGACCAGAGAGGCAUGGCUAGAGAAAGAAGAGCGAAGACGUUUCAUCUCAGGAUGGACAUGCAGUCAUGACCGUCAAGAAGAACACUGCUCCCACCCCAUCGCAUCUGGCUUGGUGGGCUCUUCAUCCAGGUGCGGAGGCCAUCACAGCUGCAAGAAAUGCUCCAGCAGCCAAGUUCACUAGGAAGAAGGAAGAAAAUGUCAGAACGAUUGAAAGGCUCCUGGUACUUGUUUCUGCUUUUUUUUUUCCCCAAAUUUUUUUAACUUUUUAAAAUCAACUUUAUUUAAUAUCCCAGAAGACUAUGGUGAAAGUGUUUGUUGACUAAGAUUUGCACUACCAGAAAUGAAAGUUGAAAUAGAAUGGAUGCUCUGGUCUUGUAUUGUAUUACCCUUUUCAUAAAAAAAAAAUACUUCCUCAACAAUUCUGAUUAGAAUUCUCCCUUGAGAAGAGAAAUUCAGGAAUUUCUUUGCUGUUAUUUGGAAGCUUUUGUGCUUUUCAUUGCUCUGUGAGAUCAGAGCAAGAUGCAGAACAAUUUCAUUCAAUCUUCUGUGGUAUCAUCCAGGAUCUUGCCAUUCAAAAUGGCAUUAUUUUAGAAAACCAUAAUUGUAGCGCAUAUACAGUCAAACCCAGCCAAAAUGCAAUAAAUGGGAUCCAAGAA